rnacentral:rRNA from 1 species
GAUGAACGCUGGCGGCGUGCCUAAUACAUGCAAGUCGAGCGAACAGACGAGGAGCUUGCUCCUCUGACGUUAGCGGCGGACGGGUGAGUAACACGUGGAUAACCUACCUAUAAGACUGGGAUAACUUCGGGAAACCGGAGCUAAUACCGGAUAAUAUAUUGAACCGCAUGGUUCAAUAGUGAAAGACGGUUUUGCUGUCACUUAUAGAUGGAUCCGCGCCGCAUUAGCUAGUUGGUAAGGUAACGGCUUACCAAGGCAACGAUGCGUAGCCGACCUGAGAGGGUGAUCGGCCACACUGGAACUGAGACACGGUCCAGACUCCUACGGGAGGCAGCAGUAGGGAAUCUACCGCAAUGGGCGAAAGCCUGACGGAGCAACGCCGCGUGAGUGAUGAAGGUCUUCGGAUCGUAAAACUCUGUUAUUAGGGAAGAACAAAUGUGUAAGUAACUAUGCACGUCUUGACGGUACCUAAUCAGAAAGCCACGGCUAACUACGUG